UCUGUGGAAAAUCUGCAGACGAGGCAAAACCGAGACAGGCUGGGUAAGGGCCAGGGGCUGGAACCACUGCGGCCGCCAGGCUCUCCGACAGGAAGGGAGAACCCCAGCCAACAUUCCAGCGCUUGGGCCUUUAACUCCCCUGCUCCCACGCCGGGCUGUGUCGUACCCUGCCUCCGGGCUCGCUGCCUCUUGGCCACCCCGUCCUGCCCGGGCUGUGCUACCAGCCCCAGGAGGCUUCGGUCCAGUCAUCAAACCCUUAACGGGACCCGGCUGAUCGGAGUGACCACCCGCUGAGCUGGCUGACGCUGCUGGGGAAGGUCUUAUCCACGAAGCAGCUCUGUGCUGAGCCUCUGUCUGCAGCUUCAGGCCUGCACGUGAACAAAGUAGCCAGCGUGCAAGAGUCCCAGGCCAAUCGUGAACUGGAGCACGAGGCCUGUGAUCCGGGUUUUGAAUGUUGGAGUUGGCCAGGGACUGGGAAGGCGCCUUGCGUGGAGAGCCGAGCUGCUGUUUCGGCCCUUGCCUUACAGGGCUUGCCAGAGCAAAGACUUUGGCAGGAGGCUGUUGGAGAGGAGGGAGGGACGUGAGGCUUGCUCCAAGAGCUCCUGUCGGAAGGUUCUCGAGAGGGAGAAGCGAAGCAGUAAGAAGCGAGAAGUGAGAACAAAGCUGUGAGAUUCCAGGGUUCCUGCUGGGAUCAUUGCUGGGGAAUGACAGGCCUGGAGAGGAAGAUGAUUUAUGGCCACUCAGUUCCCCGGAAAGGUCCAUCUGCUACUAGAAAGUUUUGCUUCGCCACACAACGAGCAGGCUCCGGGAGGGAGCGUAUGAACCUAAUGCUCAUAAAACGGGACCGGAAUGAAGCUCACACUUUAAAUCACUUCCUCUGUUUGCAAAAAUCCAUAAGCAUUUCUCAUUGGGCUCAGGAUCUGCCGUGUACGGAGUGAAGGGUGUAACUGGGACUGGAGAUGGGCAAGGAAUAGAAUAGCGACAGCUGGUGCCGCCUACAGGUGCCAGAAUUCUAUACCCACCCAUCUCCCCUGGCAACAAGUCAAGGUGUUAACUCUGGAACCCUCUAGGUCAUACAGGGUUUUAGCUCAUUGUUUGAGAGACUGUCUCUUGGGACGGCCCUGUCUGGCUUGUGCAUCAGCUGGCCAGUAGAGCUGCUUGGGGGGAAGCAGCAAGAGCAUGAACGGUUUGAAAAUGGCCUCUGUGUGUUGUGUUUCCAAAGGAACGGAUCUGUUUGUGUGUUUGGCUUAUUCUCUGAAAUUUUCCUGCCCUCCCCCCCCCUACACUCCCCGCAUCCAAACACUUCCUCUUUUUUGAAAAUCGUAGGCCUCAAAGGAAACAUCUUGAUCUUUUUAAAUCUUUAAAAGUUUGCUUUGAAAAUGUUUGACUUUGUAAAAGUUAUCAGUGGGAACAGGGUAUCAAGGGACGUAGUGGAUUCUCCAUCUUUGGGUGUCUUUGACUCAGAAUAGGGUGCUUUUUGGAAGAUAUGUACUAACCGAACAAAAGUAAAUGACAGGUCUACCCAACGGGAGGGAGGUGGGGGUGGAAGGGGAACUGGUCCAGGGCCCAGCAAUAUAAAAGGCCCAGAGCUGAAACUAUAGCACCGGGAGUGCUAGCCACUGGGACUGGGGGUGGGGUGCACUGUGAUCUGGUGGCACUGAGGACUGGCUGUCCCCAACCCCGCCCCUUCCAUCCAAGGCCAGGUAGAGCAGGACUCCACACACCCCUCUCCCCACCCCCGGCUUGCCCAGGGCCCGGGCAAGGCUGCCGGUCCCGUAGGUUACUGGGCUCAGAACAGGAGGAACUGGAAGAAAUUUCAGUGUCCUCCAACACAUGGGAUGAGACUAAAUGAUCUAAAGGUCCCUUCAGGCCUGGGUCUCUCUCUGCAAUUCCAUCAGUGGUCAGGCUAAUGUAGGGAUGAGCCGUUUUUCAUAACAAAGACUAAUGCAGAUGUAGCCUUAAUGUGACCCAAAUCCAGCACUGAGCCAGCCGUCUCUAGAUGCUAAGAAUCUACAGGGCCAUCUGCUUUCGCCACACUGCGCUUCUCUGGAUUUAGCUGCUCGGGGAGAGGGAAGCUUUCCGCUCUCUUCAGCAACCUGGUGGCAGCUGUACAAUAUGGGAAAUGCUUCUCUUGUCUUCCCUCAUUAACCUCCCAUACCACUUCGUUGCGGGUGGAUUAGUCUCUCUAGCAGAUAUAUUUAUUGCAUUUUUGUUGCAGGAAGCCAGAAUCUUGGGAAUUUGAGGGAGGCAUUGUCUAGACAAUGCAGGGAGACAAUAAAAAAGAGAAUGUUGACAUUGCUGAGAUUCUAAAGAAGAACCAUGGAGAGAAAUUUUGGAGAAUUUAUGAUUGCCAUUGUCUGGCAAGACCUCACUUGAAGGUUUGAAUUAUGUGUAUAUGGCCUAUGUGAGGACAGAACAGUAUGAAUUCACAAUAGUCUACGUUUGUCCUGCGCUGUGAUUGGAGGAAACCAUCACACGAGCGUUACACUGUCUGAGUUGCCUAAACAAUUGCACAUAAAUGUAUCACACAGAUCUGGGCACCAUUUUUCUGCAUGUGUUCAGGAAUACUACCCAAGAAACAAGAUGACCAAGGCAACAGAAUUGCUGAGCAAUUUGUACCAUGCUUAUUUAUUUUGAAAAUAUCAUUUCAAAAUAGUGGCUAUUUCCUUGAGCCAUCCAAAGCCAUGCAAAAUAUUUCUUUUAAUGUCUAUACCCUAGUGGUAUAAUACUCAAUUUCAGCAUCUUUUCUAACCCUUGGGUAAUAUUGUGCCCUUGCUGUGUGUUUCUAUAGGCAUAUGGGUGUAAUAUAUAGAAACCAGAUGCAGGCCUAUGUAAACUAUAUACUUUCCUUUAGCCACGUUUAUUAUGCAAAUAUCUUAUUUUGAAGAUGUUACAAACUAUAUACAGGUUGAACUUCUCUAGUCUGGCACUGUUGGGACCUGGCCAGUGCUGAACCAGA